ACCUUGAUAUUUUUGCCCCCUCAAAAAAAGAUAUCAGAACUUUUUAAUAUACAUUUACUAAAGGAUUUACUUGUUACUAAUGGAAUCUAACCCCUGUUCUUCUUUAGAUCUACUUGUUUCACUCCGAUAGUAUCAUAAAUUGAGUCAAUGCAUAGAAAAUGAAUGCAUUUCAAUACUAUUAAGUUAAGUGAAAUCGAUAAGACAGAAUCCGUAUUAGACCACUUCACUUAUUUUAGUGGAUCUUACAAAGUUCGGUCAUCCAGGACAUGAUCAAGUCUGAUCAUAGAAAAGAAUCUCUU
rnacentral:lncRNA from 1 species